CCUGCCUUCAGGAUGGGGACAACAGACGGAAACGACUGCUAAUACCGAAUACGUCCUUAGGUCGCAUGACUUUAGGAAGAAAGGGUGGCCUCUACUCGUAAGCUAUCGCCUGAAGAGGGGUUUGCGUCUGAUUAGGUAGUUGGUGAGGUAACGGCCCACCAAGCCGACGAUCAGUAGCCGGGUCUGAGAGGGAUGAACGGCCACACUGGAACUGAGACACGGUCCAGACUCCUACGGGAGGCAGCAGUGGGGAAUCUUCCGCAAUGGGCGAAAGCCUGACGGAGCAACGCCGCGUGAGUGAUGACGGCCUUCGGGUUGUAAAGCUCUGUGAUCGGGGACGAACGGUCAGCAGACGAAUACUCUGCUGAAGUGACGGUACCCGAAUAGCAAGCCACGGCUAACUACGUG
rnacentral:rRNA from 1 species